rfam:Burkholderia pseudomallei strain K96243, chromosome 1, complete sequence.
AAAGCAGGCUAGGCAGUCGCGGCUUUCGCGGUUCGCCGCGAAGGGCGAGGAAAGUCCGGACUCCAACAGGGCAGGGUGAUGGCUAACGGCCAUCCGUGGCGACACGCGGAACAGGGCAACAGAAAGCAAACCGCCGAUGGCCCGGCGCAAGCCGGGAUCAGGCAAGGGUGAAACGGUGCGGUAAGAGCGCACCGCGGCUGCGGCGACGCAGACCGGCACGGUAACCUCCACCCGGAGCAAUUCCAAGUAGGCGGACGCGCAUCUUCGGAUGCAGGGCGGUGCCCCCGUCUCGUUCGCGGGUAGGAAGCUUGAGCGCGUCAGCAAUGGCGCGCCUAGAGGAAUGGCUGCCACGGGCCGCGCACCUUCGGGCGUGCGGUUCGCACAGAAUCCGGCUUAUCGGCCCGCUUUGCCG